UGCGUAGGGGGCAAGCGUUGUCCGGAUUUAUUGGGCGUAAAGAGCGUGUAGGCGGUUUGGUAGGUCCGCUGUGAAAACUCGAGGCUCAACCUCGAGACGCCGGUGGAAACCAUCAGACUAGAGUCCGGAAGAGGAGAGUGGAAUCCCUGGUGUAGCGGUGAAAUGCGCAGAUAUCAGGAAGAACACCCGUGGCUAAGGCGGCUCUCUAGUACGGUACUGACGCUGAGACGCGAAAGCGUGGGGAGCGAACAGG
rnacentral:rRNA from 1 species